rnacentral:lncRNA from 1 species
CGUUAAUUCACGCUCCGGGGCUCCUCUGGAAGCCUAUUCAUGUAGAUCUGUGUUACGCCACGGUAAAUUGCGUUCAAACACCCCUAUCAAUUAAACAGGAAUAAGGAGCGUUUUCAUCCGCCGCGCUCGGGAUGGAGAACAAGAGUCCCCUUUGGUCGCCAGAAAUCGCCUCCAUCUCGGACGAAAGUCACCGGACUGUCGCGCGGCUGAGCGGCGAGCGGCGGCGCGUUAAAAAUCCGCCGGGCGGAGACGGCGCGAUGGCGGGACGAUGAGGCGGAAGACGGCGGCCAGGCGCCACGUCGGCUGCGAGUUCGAGGCGGCGGGGGAGCCGGAGGGCGGCGAGCGAGAAGCGGACGCGGCGGCACCGCCGAGCCCGGCGUCGUGCCACAGGCUGCAGAAGAGGAGGAAACGCGGCGGAGAGGAGACUGCGCCCGGUGCCACCGGCUCGGCGGAGUUGAGAACGCGGGGAUUUGAGUUGGACAACUUUAUAACUGAGCAUGGAAAAGACACAACUGAGAUUCUGGGAGGUCUCCAGUCUCAGUCCAAGGCGGAGCUUGUUGCUAUGGUUUUGAACAUGCACAGAGAGAUGGACAACCUUAGAGAGCAAAUCCGAUGCCUUGUGGCUUGUGGACGUCUGGCACAAAACCUCGAAAGCUUGGUUGAAAGGACGGAUUCUUGGAUAACCAACAGCACAAGAGUAAUGUCUCCCCAAAUAUUUGUGACCAGCGGAGUACCAUCUCAGGUCAUCGCCCAUGAUGUGCCAAAUGGACGGUGGUCCAAAAUGCUCACCAACCACAGCAGAGCUUGUGAUGCUCAUACAGUUCACGCUGCUGUCAAUGGAGGAGAACCACAGGGGAAAUCAGCACCAGUUUUUCAGGAUUUUAUUACUGCAGAGCUCCUGGAUCGCUGUAACACCGGCACCACAGCUCAGAAGCUGACCAAUGAUCUUCUACGUGGUCUUUAUGAGAGGGACUGCUUGGCCUCACAUUCAAUCUCAGGCAUUGUCAAUAACAAACGGGGUCAGCCCAAGCCUGCCCUGCCCGCCGACGAGGUCCAAGCAAUACUGAGGGCAGUGCAGCAUUUUUUCCCGGGAAAGACAGAUUCUGAAAUCAAGAGCUACAUCCGUCAGAAGUUGCAGAAUGAGGCUAAACGGCUGCGGAAGAAGCCACACCCGGAGUCUAACUCAGCGUCAGAUGGAAUACGUACUGCAACUGUUAACACAUAGGGCUAGGCCUUGCUGUCCUUCCACAGUCUGGUCCUUGGGGAAUAUUCCUGACUUUUCUCAGCAGGGAACACUGUCGUUUCUGAAACCUUGAAAAGGACAAAGGAUUAUAGGAUAAAAAGCAGCUCCUUCCAUUCGAGGCUCACGUCCCCGUUUGUCUCAGUGUGAGAACCGCAGGUAAUAUACAGAUGUGAGUUCAGUGGUGUGGAAAAGCAAGUUGAAGGGUUUUUGUGUAAAGCAGAACUUCUAGUAUGAUCAGCCUUAGUUGCCAACCCCAGAUUAAGUAGACGAUGAUUAUUUCAUGUACAAAUGAAAAAUAUCCUAAUAUUUGUCAAUUAACUACUAGAGUCUUUAGCUACACUGCAAUUAGUAAGGUCGUAUUAGGAGUGAAACAAUGUCCCAUUCGUAGCAUAGCAACUGUUACAAAAGGUGAAUGUAUUGUAGCUGACGGAAAAGAGUUAUUUGUCCACUUUUGAUUCCGGCACAGUUUAUAAAAGAGCAGAGCUCCAGUGUCUGUAUGGUCAC